UCCGAGUUGACCCCGGCAGUCUCCCAUGAGUCCCCGCCAUUACGCGCUGGCAACAUGGAACGAGGGUUGCGCUCGUUGCGGGACUUAACCCAACAUCUCACGACACGAGCUGACGACAACCAUGCACCACCUGUGAACCGGCCCCAAAGGGGAAACCACAUUUCUGCGGCGAUCCGGCCCAUGUCAAGCCUUGGUAAGGUUCUUCGCGUUGCAUCGAAUUAAUCCGCAUGCUCCGCCGCUUGUGCGGGCCCCCGUCAAUUCCUUUGAGUUUUAGCCUUGCGGCCGUACUCCCCAGGCGGGGCACUUAAUGCGUUAGCUACGGCGCGGAAAACGUGGAAUGUCCCCCACACCUAGUGCCCAACGUUUACGGCAUGGACUAC
rnacentral:misc_RNA from 1 species